rnacentral:rRNA from 1 species
GAGUUUGAUCAUGGCUCAGAUUGAACGCUGGCGGCAUGCCUUACACAUGCAAGUCGAACGGUAACAGGUUAAGCUGACGAGUGGCGAACGGGUGAGUAAUAUAUCGGAACGUGCCCAAUCGUGGGGGAUAACGCAGCGAAAGUUGUGCUAAUACCGCAUAAGAUCUACGGAUGAAAGCGGGGGAUCGCAAGACCUCGCGCGAAUGGAGCGGCCGAUAUCAGAUUAGCUAGUUGGCGGGGUAAAAGCCCACCAAGGCGACGAUCUGUAGCUGGUCUGAGAGGACGACCAGCCACACUGGGACUGAGACACGGCCCAGACUCCUACGGGAGGCAGCAGUGGGGAAUUUUGGACAAUGGACGCAAGUCUAAUCCAGCAAUGCCGCGUGCAGGAUGAAGGCCUUCGGGUUGUAAACUGCUUUUGUACGGAGCGAAAAGGUCCACCCUAAUACGGUGGGCCCAUGACGGUACCGUAAGAAUAAGCACCGGCUAACUACGUGCCAGCAGCCGCGGUAAUACGUAGGGUGCAAGCGUUAAUCGGAAUUACUGGGCGUAAAGCGUGCACAGGCGGUUAUAUAAGACAGAUGUGAAAUCCCCGGGCUCAACCUGGGACCUGCAUUUGUGACUGUAUAGCUAGAGUACGGUAGA